UGGUCAAGUUAUUAAGGGUGCAGGGCGGAUGCCUUGGCACUAGGAGCCGAUGAAGGACGUGAUAAGCUGCGAUAAGCUUCGGGGAGUUGCACGUAAACUUUGAUCCGAAGAUUUCCGAAUGAGGAAACUCACUUAGAGUAAUGUCUAAGUAUCAUUAAGUGAAUACAUAGCUUAAUGAGGGGAACUCAGGGAACUGAAACAUCUAAGUACCUGAAGGAAGAGAAAGAAAUUCGAUUCCGUAAGUAGCGGCGAGCGAACGCGGAUUAGCCCAAACCAAUAAAGUUUUCUUUAUUGGGGUUGCGGACAUAUCAUAACGAAGAGGUAUCGUAAUUGAAGAGGUUUGGAAAGACCCACCACAGAAGGUAAUAGUCCUGUAUGUUAAACGAGA
rnacentral:rRNA from 1 species